ensembl:lncRNA
CAGGAGGACACCCCUGCUCACUGCCGUAACACUUCAGUCUUCAGUUUGCAGCAAAACAAUGGAAGUCAAAGCUCUUGGCAUCAGACUCCUGAUGACCAUUAUGAUUCUGCUGGGUGUUCAAGGUCAGAGAGUUGAUGCAACAUUUAAUCCAGACUGUCUCAAAGAGCAGAGCCUUUUCUCUUCUGAGGACACACCUUGGAUCAUUGCCAUUGCUUUAUUGAGCGCUGUGGUGCUGACAUUUGGAGUGUACCUUGGCAACGAUUCGUGGGACAGAGAUGAUGACACGUUAUAUUCUAGAGCCAUUUACUACACCUUACACCUGGGUGAGACUGAACUCAAAGGUCUCAAAAAAAAGAGUGGAAUGAAGACAAAAUAACAUCUGAGAGGAAGUGAAGACAUUUAUCACAUAUUAUUAUUGUAAUUGAACAAGCUGUACAUCAUCUGCUGGGUUUGGUGUGAAUGUCAACAAACUGUUAUGUGUGUCUUCAGCUAAAAACAGCUGUCAGACACUCAUGGUUAUAAGAAGAGAUAAAGUUCACAUACUACCAAAUGUGUCUGUCUCUUAUGUAGAAGUUAAAAUUAAACCACUUGUUUCUUGGGUUCUUUUUGCUUGUGUGUGAAUGUUGCUUAUAAGAAAAGAGCAACUGCAGCUCAUUUCUUCUAGACAGCAGGUUGUCACCGUGGUCUACCACUAAUGUAAAUGUGUUGCAUUGCUUUGUUUUCCAAACCAGAUGAACCAAAUUUGUGGUAAGCAGUGAAAUACACCUGCAACGUUUACUGGGCAUGUCUCUAUGUGAAGUUUGGUCUAGUGCACAGACUAAAUAUCUGGUGGCUUGUUUUAUGUUGCAGCAGCUGUUCAGUAAAGUAACGAAAAUCAGCUGGGGGUGGGUUUUUUUGUUGUUGUUGUUUUUUAUUUAUUUGUCAGACUUUGUAAAAGCAGAAGUGAGAAGAGGAUAUGAUUUAGAUGCUGAGGUGGAGCUCAGCUUGUUUCUGCUUGACCUUAACUGUUUUAGUUUAUGAUAGGCCUCAAAAGGUCACUUUCUGAGCUACUACUACUAAGAAGGAUAAAAAUGAGCCUUUAUUUAAUCUUUCUUUCUUCUUUAAAAAAAAUCCACAAACCAGGGAAGUAAAUAGAAUUUUGUGACUUUAUAAGUCUUCUUAAAAGAUACAAAGCUUCAUCACGUUUCAUGGUGAACUUGCAAUAUGGAUUGUAACAAUGUAAUAAUUUAUCAAGCAUAUUUUAAAUAUUUAAGAAAAUUUAAAUAUGCAAAGUAUUACCAUUACUUUUUUAAAUCAAUUAUCUCUUGGAAUUUAGACAUUACACAAAUUAGUGUUGUUCAUGUUAAAAAAAACAUCCUUUCUAAUUCCACCAUGUAUGUGCCAAUAUGCUACAAAUUACGAUACUCUAUAUGCUGAAGCCCUCAGUGCCAGCCUGAGGCUGUACCUGAAUCAGAUGAGUUAAAGACUCAACUUUCUCUGCCAUUACGAGCUGCUGGCACUGACACUGAACUAAGUAAAACCUCCAUUGAAGAAAUAUUGAAAUCAACUCAAAGUCAAACUGUGUGUAACUUUAUUUCUGCCAGUGUUGUAAUGCUGGUUGAUUUACUGCAGGGGGAAGACUUAACACAUUCAAUAUUAUUGCAUAAUUUAAAAACAAUAUGUUUAAUAUAUUUUGAUCAGAAAAACACAUUUAAAUCUGCCCGUGUCCUUUAUACAUGAUAAAUAAUCUCUGCAGACACAGUGAGUGAGACCAUGCCUCAGAGCACAGCUGUCACCUCAUCUUACAGACUCUUUUCAUAGUUGUGAUUGUGGUUCUGCUGCUGUUCUUCACUGAUAGAAAGUCAAAGCUAGACCAACUAACUUGUGUUCACCUAUGUGUUAGUGUAAUUGCCAUGAAGCGGACAAUAGUCCAUGCAAUUGUGAAAAAUAGAGCAAUAAAACCAAUUAUUAUCCCAUCAUACUUCUUGUAGUUAAUGAAUAACUUAGUGAUUCAUUCACUGGUAAUAGUGACUGUCUCAAGAAAUGAACUGGUUGAUCUGUUGUUUCUACAAAUACCUUUUUUCACUUCUUCUUGUCACUUUGAACAUGCGUGAUAAACAUCAGCUCUGCUCUUACUGCCGAUCACACUGUGGUUUGUGAAAGUCAUAAUCUACCGAAACUCCUGCCUGACCUCAUCUCUCAACCUGACCUAAUUUACUCCCAGCUUAAAACCAUCUGUCAGUCCAGCCACACACCUCCCCUCUAACUUGCUGUUCUCAAAUGUGUGCAUGUAUGAGAUGUGCAACCCAACCACAGCAUUGUUAUUUCUACAUUCAUAGAUUAUGUGGUUAUUUUCUCUUUAUUGAGAUGUGUAUUUCUCCUAUCAUGUUUUGGGUUUAAGGUCUCUUUGCAUUUUAUAUAGUUGAAAUAAAUAUAUUUGAAACAAUAAAGAAAAACCUUAUUUGUGAUAAGAAAAAACCUGAAUGAAAUGACUGCUGGAUAAUGAAUCACAGGGAUCAGAGUUUUACAGUUGUUAACCUACGUUACUGCAAAGUAUCACAGGCUGGGUCUCUGACCCAGUGCUCUUGAGUACAUUUGGUAUUUGUCUCAUUUUUGAAUUGUGAUUAGUUCAUGUGUCAUUCCUAUUUAGCUUUUAGUUGAGGUUAAAGGCAGUCAUUAUUUAUUGUGUCCUUGGUUUCUGUGUUUGGGUUCUUGUAUCGUUCAUCACGUGUUAGGUCUGUUAAGAUCUGUUGUCAUGUCUAGUUUCAGUGUUUCCUGUUUUAUUUCGAAGGAGUCGUGUGUUCUUUGUUCAUUGUAUUUAGUUUCACUUCCCCUGGCCUGUCAUUAGGCUCAUGUCAGUCAGCUGGGAACACAUUAACAAAUUUCCCACAUGUGGGACUAAUAAAGGUUAUCUUAUUAGAGGAAAUGUGUUCCCAUUUCCUCUAAUCACCUCCUGUGUAUUUAAGUCCUCUGUUUCCAGGCCAUGUGUUUUGAAACUACUUGGUUAAUUUUUGAAAAAGAAAUUUUAAAAUAGGAGUCCUGAUCGUUGACAAAUUGAGUAUCACUAAAGACUAUAAAGUAUAUCUAAAGUGGAAUGUGUGUCUAUAUCUAAGCUUUACAACACUGUCAGGCUGAUUGUAACAUCACUGGUCUGGUUCAAAUCAUCUAGUUUGCCAAUCAGUCUUUACUUGGCACUUUUUUUUACUCCUCUUUACUCCUUUACACCUAAGACUUUCUCUUGCAGACACCUUUGUGUAACCCACCUCCUCCCCAUCACUGCCCCUCCUAUGUCACUCGGGCUCCACCACAACCACCAGGGGUUUCUUGCCUAAUCCCUAUCACCGAUAGGAAUCCAUUAUGCUGUGAUGGGCCAUUGGAGUCUAACCACCAAUCUGGAUUCUGUACAUGAAUCAAUCAUGUUCAGUUCCUUCUAAUGAUCCGUUUUUACUGAAAUAGUCACUAAUACAUUUGAAUGACAUAAUCACUUUAUCUUCAGCAGUGUUAACUCUCUUAUUUCUCUAAAGUGCUUUUACACAUUUGUUGAAUUGCUAACAUUUUUCAGACACUGAAGCAGUUCCUUGCUCCACCCACAGAUAGGAAACUGAAACACUGAAGCUUAAGCUGACACAAGAUCAACUUGGUUACUGUGGAAACUACUUUAGUAAAGUUAAAUGAUUACAUUAAUUAGCAUUGAGUUGUAAAAGAAAUAGUAGAAAGUAGUAGUGGUAGUGGUAGUAAAACUGCUUUAAGAGCAGGAAGACAAACAGGAAGACGCCCUGCUCUCAGUUUUCACACUUUAGUAU